GUUUAUUGUUAACAAUAUACAAGGCAUAAUACAAAUAAGAAAGAAUGCUAACAGGUAUAUUCUGCUAUAAUACCAUUAUUUAAACAAGCUGGAAAAUAUUUACACCUCAUAGACAUAUUAGGAGCCUUUGUUCAUGACUUAUAUGCAGAUGUAGGGUGUAGCUUAUUCAAUAUUGUAUGGGGCCCAGGCUCUGCUUAUGGCAAGUCCUGCAGGGUUGUGUGCUGGGAGUCCUGGGUGUAGCUGAUUCAAUAUUGUAUUGGGCCGAGGCUCUGCUUAUGGCAAGUCCUGCAGGGUUGUGUGCUGGGAGUCCUGGGUGUAGCUGAUUCAAUAUUGUAUGGGGCCCAGGCUCUGCUUAUGGCAAGUCCUGCAGGGUUGUGUGCUGGGAGUCCUGGGUGUAGCUGAUUCAAUAUUGUAUGGGGCCCAGGCUCUGCUUAUGGCAAGUCCUGCAGGGUUGUGUGCUGGGAGUCCUGGGUGUAGCUGAUUCAAUAUUGUAUGGGGCCCAGGCUCUGCUUAUGGCAAGUCCUGCAGGGUUGUGUGCUGGGAGUCCUGGGUGUAGCUGAUUCAAUAUUGUAUGGGGCCCAGGCUCUGCUUAUGGCAAGUCCUGCAGGGUUGUGUGCUGGGAGUCCUGGGUGUAGCUGAUUCAAUAUUGCAUUGGGCCGAGGCUCUGCUUAUGGCAAGUCCUGCAGGGUUGUGUGCUGGGAGUCCUGGGUGUAGCUGAUUCAAUAUUGUAUGGGGCCCAGGCUCUAGUACACUUCUUGAGUUCCAUUUAAAAUAAAGGAUACUUAAAAGGACAUUCAACUCUGGAUGUGACUCCAUUUGAAAGGUUUUUCAGGACCACUCUUGGGGCCAGCGUCCAAGUCAACGCUCCCUGGGCAUAGUCUCCACCAAAAAGUUUUGUAAAAUCCCAGUAUUGAUUAAUAAUGACAGUUAUGAGAAAAGGCAUCUUCUCAGAAAUUCUGUUGAGCUUCUUGCAGUCUUUUGUGAUCUUCUAUUGCCCUCUAUGGCAUUAGCAUAUAAUUUAUGAAGGCUUCUAGCAGAUGGAGCUAAAGAUAGAGCCACCAAGAAAAUAGCAGCCCUCGUGAGGGAGGACUUCAGGUAUGUAGGUUGUUUUUUUUUGCAAAGAUGCUAAAAGUGACAGUGCCACUUUAAGAAAAUAGGUUUUUUUUAGUUUUUUUGAAUUAGAUUAAUAGAAUGCCUUUAAUAUAUAUAUAUAUAUAUAUAUAGAGAGAGAGAGAGAGAGAGAGAUACUUUAAUGUAUCUAUAGAUAGAUACAUUUCUCUCCCCGAAUGCUAGAAUACAGCCCUGAACAUUGUGAGCCUCAUGGACUACAAUGUGUUAUUAAGGGGAAGCUUGACAACAUUUACUUUCCCUCUGCUCAAUGUAUAGAAACUGAAACUGAACAUUUUAUUGGUGAAGGAAUGAGGAAGAACAAUAUUUGCAACAUUUAUAUAGAAGCAUUCUCCAACUCCCUUAUAUACCCUAUAUGGCUGUUUGCACCUAAAUAUCUUUUCAUAUAUUCAUUGUUUAAACAUUUAUAUCACUAUAUAACUGUCUAUAACUGUAUACAUUGCACUAUGCUACUUAUACGCAGGUCUGAAAAAAAAAUAAAUUUUCCUUGUGCAGAAGAUGAGUCUCCAUGCUUGUUAACACAAGGUGGAUGUAAGGCUAUGGCCAAAGAUUCUUAAUGAACAAGCAAAACUCAUUUCUUCAUGUUAGUCCACAGUCCACUUUUUACUUACAUUUUCUCUGCUAUGUAACUUCUGCUUAUUGUUGCCAGUCGGCUUGUUUGGCCAGUCGCACAUUUGUGAUUUGAGUGUAGGGAGUAAGCUCAUAUUCCAAUAAAUAGCUCUUAGAAUGACUGGCUUUUAGGAUAUUUGUCCAUCACAGCUCUUAUCUACUCUUAUAUUUACAUCUCUCCUUAGGCCUAUAUAAAACAUUGUUUUACAUCCAUAUUUUACUUCCAUUUCAUUCAAAACUUUUUCAUGAUUCACUCCUGAAUUGCAAAAUGUACACAUUUAGCACCAGCAGCUAUGAUAAAAUUGCCUCCUCAACCAAGUUGGCAUUUUCGUGUGUUUAUUACAUGCCUUAUUUUCUGCGUCCUCAUCUCAUUGUAUGAUGAAGUGUGAGUGUUGGAGGAGGCUUAUUGGAUUGUAUUCAGUGAUCUUAAAAUUAAGAUAAUUCUAAGGUGUUCUGUCAUUACACUGCAUUACUGUUAUAGCGUUUCCUACAACAACAGACGAGGAACAGCAAAAUAAUAACCAAUAGCAAUAGCAGGAUCACAGCCACGAUCAGUCCAGUAGUGGUUUCUGCAAGAAAAUAUGGUGCACAAUGUCACAGAAAUGUAUGCAUAUCAGCCUAUUGACAUUGCGUAUUAUCACAUUCUGUUUAUCUCAUUAAACAUUAAUUUGCUUAUUGAAUGAACACACU
rnacentral:lncRNA from 1 species